rnacentral:rRNA from 1 species
CGCUGGCGGCAUGCCUAAUACAUGCAAGUCGUGCGCAGGAAGCAAACUGAAAUCUUCGGAUGGACGUUGUGGAAUGAGCGGCGGAUGGGUGAGUAACACGUGGGCAACCUGCCUGUAAGAUCGGGAUAACUCCGGGAAACCGGUGCUAAUACCGGAUGAAGCUUUUGAUCUCCUGAUUAAGAGAUGAAAGACGGCUUUUGCUGUCACUUACAGAUGGGCCCGCGGCGCAUUAGCUAGUUGGUGGGAUAAAAGCUUACCAAGGCCACGAUGCGUAGCCGACCUGAGAGGGUGAUCGGCCACACUGGGACUGAGUCACGGCCCAGACUCCUACGGGAGGCAGCAGUAGGGAAUCUUCCGCAAUGGACGCAAGUCUGACGGAGCAAAUGCCGCGUGAGUGAUGUAAGGUUUUCGGAUUAGUAAAACUCUGUUGUUAGGGAAGAACAAGUACCGUUCAAAUAGGGCGGUACCUUGACGGUACCUAACCAGAAAGCCCCGGCUAACUACGUGCCAGCAGCGGC